rnacentral:rRNA from 1 species
UACGUAGGGUGCAAGCGUUGUCCGGAAUUAUUGGGCGUAAAGAGCUCGUAGGCGGUUUGUCGUGUCUGCUGUGAAAACCCGAGGCUCAACCUCGGGCCUGCAGUGGGUACGGGCAGACUAGAGUGCGGUAGGGGAGAUUGGAAUUCCUGGUGUAGCGGUGGAAUGCGCAGAUAUCAGGAGGAACACCAAUGGCGAAGGCAGAUCUCUGGGCCGUAACUGACGCUGAGGAGCGAAAGUGUGGGGAGCGAACAGG